rnacentral:misc_RNA from 1 species
GUGCCUUGCACCUAGGCUCCAAGAACCCUUGGAACCUUAGUGCGCCUUUAGCAUUUAAUAACUAUGGUUACAAUCAGACACUUGAUUUCAACAUUGAAAACUUUCUGAUAAGUUUUUAAUAAAGACGAUGCAUUGGAAUAACUACUCAAAUCAUCAAACAAAAAUUAUAUGGUAUCAUAUGCAAGCAGUAAAUGAGAAACUAGUAUAAUAACUAAGUCUAAGAAUUCUUGAAUUACAUAGACACAUGCGUAGAUCUUUACAAGUCCUAAUAAACCUACAAUUCCAGAAAAGCAAAAAAACUCUCUCCGAUAGAAGGAUUCAUAAAGCUUUAAGAACUAGGAACACAAGUCGAAUUUAAACGCUAUUAGAUCAUAAAAUAUCCCAAACAAAGCAGAAAAUCAUUAAAAAUCUCCAACCUGAUGAAACAUAAGAACAGAGAUAAAUAGGGCCAUAUCAAUAUGAAUAACCUAAUGAUCAUCAAGUAAACUUUUCCUUAAAAUUAAAACGUAAAAUUAAAACGUCUUCUAUGAUGGCAUUGGAUAAAUAGCUUGAACCCUGGUUUCAAAAUUGGAUACCUCCUAAACCAAGCAAUGUCUGCACCAUCAUACAAAAAUUGAAAUUCAAUAUGAUGACAAAUUCAUAAUCACAGGAAGGAAAAGUUCAAAUCUUAAGCGCAAGAAGAGUGAGAAGGACCUUUUCAACGAUGGACAUUGCUUCUUCCGUCGCACUUUUUUUUCCUGUUGAUGGAGCAGGUAACGAGGAAGCCAGAGUAAAAGCGCUGAAGUAGCGCAGAAGGUACUGUGUAAUCGAAGCAAGGUAUGCUUAUGAGUUAUGACGGCUGCGUGUUGCUCCCAUGGCUUCCCUGUUCCUCCGACGGUGCUUUGUAAUCGAAGCACUUCUUCCGUGCUGCUGCUUCAUUUUCAUUUUCCGAUCGCUCCG